rnacentral:rRNA from 1 species
GACGAACGCUGGCGGCGUGCUUAACACAUGCAAGUCGAACGGAAAGGCCCUGCUUUUGUGGGGUGCUCGAGUGGCGGACGGGUGAGUAACACGUGAGUAACCUGCCCUUGACUUUGGGAUAACUUCAGGAAACUGGGGCUAAUACCGGAUAGGAGCUCCUGCUGCAUGGUGGGGGUUGGAAAGUUUCGGCGGUUGGGGAUGGACUCGCGGCUUAUCAGCUUGUUGGUGGGGUAGUGGCUUACCAAGGCUUUGACGGGUAGCCGGCCUGAGAGGGUGACCGGCCACAUUGGGACUGAGAUACGGCCCAGACUCCUACGGGAGGCAGCAGUGGGGAAUAUUGCACAAUGGGCGGAAGCCUGAUGCAGCAACGCCGCGUGCGGGAUGACGGCCUUCGGGUUGUAAACCGCUUUCGCCUGUGACGAAGCGUGAGUGACGGUAAUGGGGAAAGAAGCACCGGCUAACUACGU